rnacentral:rRNA from 1 species
GAUGAACGCUGGCGGCGUGCUUAAUACGUGCAAGUCGAGCGGACGGACGCUACUUUCGCUUUACUCAUGUUAGCAGCGGACGGGUGAGUCACGCGUGGAUUACCUUCCUCUACGACUUGGAUCUCUUCGACUAACCGUAGUUCCUACCAGAUGAUAUUUUUAACCUCAUGGUUCAAAAGUUUAUUCCGUUCUUGCUGUCCCUUCUACAUGUAUCCUCGCUGCUUUAGCUAGUUGGUACGCUAACGGCUUACGGUGGCAACGAUGCAUAGCCGACCUGCGAGGGUGAUCGGGCACACUGGAACUGAGACACGGUACAGAGUCCUACGGGAGGCAGCAGUAGGGAAUGGACCGCGAAGGGCGAAAGACUGAAGGAGCAACGCAGCGUGAGUGAAGAAGGGCUUCGGAGCGGAAAACGCUGUUAGGAGGGAAGAACAUAUGUGUAAGUAACGGUGCACAUCGUGACGGUACCUAAAUAGAAAGCCACGGCUAACUACGUG